GGGAGAGGGUGACAUGAGAGGAAAAUCAGGGGCUUGGGUAGGCCCCGAGCAGAUGUGACUUUUACUGGGAUUUCCCCGGGACUCGGGCCUCUAGGCACCAAACACCGUGGUCCCUAGUUCUUUCUCAGAAGAUUUGCAUGUUAUUUGCUUGGUAUCCCUCAACUUUGUAUUUUUCAUUGUUUUAAACCCAAACCCUGCAGCCUUUUUCCCCCUGUCUUUGUUCAUGUUUCAGUGCCAUCAUUUCUUCUUUCUUUGAGCUAUAUUAGGCAGAAAAAUAUGUCUAGGGAGGAAGCCAGAAGACACGAGAAAGACCCUCAGAGGGACCCUAACUUGGAGUCUCCUUCACUGGAGACCCCAUUCUCUGUCCAGCGCCAAAGGACACAUUCCCAACUCUGCUCCCAACUGAUUGUGUGACCUUGAACAAGUCACUCACCCCUCUGGGUAUCUGCUGCCUCAUAUGUGAAAUGAAUGCAUCACUUUAGGUCACAGUUACCCCACCUGGGAUGCACAGGCAGCCCAGCUGUGUUCUGCAUGACCGAAUCGGACACCUCUCACUUCCUCUGAGAACGGAACUUGGUGUUUGGAUGACGUGCGGGCAAGUCGUUUGUGCAAAAUAGCACAUCUCUAUCGUCGGUCUCCCACCCCAACCCCAGGCCUAAAGAAAGACAAGAAACAGAAAAAAAGCAACACCUGAGAGGAAUCCGGCUUCCAACGAGUACAGACAUUCUUAGCCCUGAGCGUUGCCUGCAGGACUGGAGAGUGACUGUGAUCACUCCUGAUUGCUGCUCAAAUCUCAGGUCAAUGUCUUCCAGGCUGUGUGACCCAGGCCAGAAGGUCACUGAAAUAACACUGGGCUUAACUGACCCAGAAAGGAGCACUUCAUCCUAGCCUUCAUCUUCUUCAUCUUCUCGGGACAACACGAGGCAUACCAACUUGGGUGGCACAGGUGGCGUCCAGCACCCAGCAGGUGCCUCCUCCAGGGCAACAAGAAGAGCUGGCCCUGUUGGAGGGUGAGAUGAUAAAGCACCUGCCCCCUUGACAGUCCUUCCUGCGCACCCCUUCUCCCACCCUGUGUGCAGGGAGGACACCACAGUCUAGGCUUUGAGACAUUCGAGGGGUGGCCCCACCCUCUAAGUUGGAGGGAAGCCUGGUCUCCAUGUGGUUUGCAGGCGUCGCAGUGCCCCAACACACCUGGGACAGAUGUGUGAUCUCUGAACCUGCCCAUUUCCUUCCUGCUUGUAGGCUCAGUGGCUGGACUGUGGCCCACACUGAUGAACGAAUCCUCCAGGAGUGAGACUCCUUUGGAGUUAUUGGCUGGUGAAAAUAAGCAAAGGACUGCAAAGAUCCACGGGUCAUGUGAGGCAGUCUGGUCUGCGGCAGCUGACAGCAGAGACUCCAGGAGGCCGAGGAAGGCACCCGCUCUCCUCCCACGGGUCUGGUGGGUCUGAUUUGCCUGAAGCCAGUGGAAGAUAAACAGGCAGCGGGUAUGGUGUGUGAAGCCAGAGGCCCACAGCCUGAGAACUGGGGCAUCACUGAUGCUCUCUGGGUCUCCCCUUCCUGUCUGGGGAGGACUUUAAUACCCACCUCAGAGUGAUGUUUGGAUGACUUAGCACAGUGCCUGGCACGCAGUGGGUGCUCAAGGCAUUUUCAUGCCCCCCACCCUCCCCUUUCCCCUCCCUUACCCUUCCUCUGUUUGCACUGCCUCCAGGAUGAGGCUGUCACCUCAGGGACUCUUCAGCACUUGAGGCCUCGCUCUCCCUCCCCACCUUCCUGAGCAGUCACAGAGUGAUGCAGAUGCUCCUGCCCUUGCAUCUGGUUUCCCUGCUUCUUCCCCAAGCACGCUGCUGUGCCAGCUCUCUUGUCUCUGGUCUGGAUUCCAGCAGCCACUGCUCGCCUGCCCUAGGGUGGUCCUGUGCUCUCAGGCAAGAUGCUCUUCUACCAGCUCAUGGUCUUUGUCUCCUUUGGGUACAUGUCUGCCCUCCUCCCUCCUACUUGGAUCUCACCUGGGGUCCUUCUCAGCUCAGGACUACAGACCUUUCAAGGGAUCAGGUCCAUGUGACAGCAGCCACCAAGAGUCCCCAGCUGAAGGAUCCAGCCUCUGCCCACCUGCCCAUCAAACAUGGAGGCUCCAGGAAUUGUCAUCACAGGAAAGGCCAAGAGUCAGAAAGAUCAGCUGAGCCACCCCCCACCCCAGGCAGCUUCCUUAUAAGGAAGAAGAAGAGGAGCAGGAGGACGAAGUCAUGGCUUCUAGAGGCUCAUCCCUAAGAUGUCCUAGUGGAAGAAGCCAGAGUUCUGUCUCCAGGGGCUUUGUGCAAGACCUGGGGUGGGGUGGGGUCACUACCAGCCCCUAUCUUUGGCCCCUCCCUCUCACCCUAACCCUCUCUGCCUCAAGGUGGCUAGGAGCACAGUCUGUAAGUCUCGUGACACUCCAUAUUAUCAUUAGGUUGAGUUUGCAACAUAAGCCUCAGUUUUGCUGUUCUGGAAUGCCUUCUGAAUAUGCCUGAGUAAUGUCUUCCUCUGGUUUUGAUGUUUAUUCCAAGGAGGAAUGUCACUGGAAUGCAUCUUCUACUGACACCCAGGCUACUGGUCCUCAACCUUGAGGCUGACCAAGCUGGCUUACCCAUUGGAUAAUGUGGUUUGCCAGGUAUGGGCCAGGUUGAGCAUGUCUCCAAGACAAGCAGCACAGUUAGGGACACAGUCUGUGGCCAUAAUGAUUACAAUAGAAAUGAACAAGUAGCUAGUUUCUUAAAGCAUGUCCCAUAUACUCAGCUCUGAGCCAAUGGAAACCCAUGCAGGAUCUGAUCUCAUCAUCUUAGGCAAACUGAUUAGUUACCAAUAUCCCCAUUUUACGG
ensembl:lncRNA